ACGGAGGGUGCAAGCGUUAUCCGGAUUCAUUGGGUUUAAAGGGUGCGUAGGUGGGUUGGUAAGUCAGUGGUGAAAUCCCCGAGCUUAACUUGGGAACUGCCAUUGAUACUAUCAGUCUUGAAUAUUGUGGAGAUUAGCGGAAUAUGUCAUGUAGCGGUGAAAUGCUUAGAUAUGACAUAGAACACCAAUUGCGAAGGCAGCUGGCUACGCAUAUAUUGACACUGAGGCACGAAAGCGUGGGGAUCAAACAGGAUUAGAUACCCUGGUAGUCCACGCCCUAAACUAUGGAUACUCGACAUCAGCGAUACACUGUUGGUGUCUGAGCGAAAGCAUUAAGUAUCCCACCUGGGAAGUACGAUCGCAAGAUUG
rnacentral:rRNA from 1 species